rnacentral:sRNA from 1 species
GCCGGGCAUGGUGGUGCAUGCCUGUAAUCCCAACAGCUCAGGAGGCUGAGAUGGGGGAAUCUCCAGUUCAAGGCCAGCCUCAGCAAUUUACUGAGGCCCUAAGCAACUCAGUGAGACCCUGUCUCUA